AUGUCUGGAAAACCAGUUUGCAUUGCUGAUUUUGAAGAGUAUGCUAAAAAAUUCCUCCCUAAAUCAGUGUAUGAUUAUUACCGAUCCGGAGCAGAUGACCAGGAAACGCUAGCCGAUAAUGUAGCAGCAUUUUCAAGAUGGAAGCUGUACCCCCGAGUGCUCAGGGACGUGUCAGUAAUGGACCUGUCAACCUCAGUCUUGGGGCAGAGAAUCAGCAUGCCGGUCUGCGUUGGAGCGACCGCUAUGCAGCGCAUGGCUCACGCUGAUGGAGAGACGGCUACUGCUAAAGCCUGCCAGGCAAUGGGGACAGGGAUGAUGCUGAGCUCCUGGGCCACCUCUUCCAUUGAAGAAGUGGCUGAAGCAGCUCCAGCUGGCCUUCACUGGCUGCAGCUUUAUGUGUACAAGGACCGGGAGGUUACCAAAUCCCUCGUGAAGCGUGCGGAGAGAGCAGGCUACAAAGGGAUCUUUGUGACGGUGGACACGCCAUUCCUCGGCAGGCGCAUUGACGACGUGCGCAACAAGUUCCAGCUUCCUCCCCACCUCAGAUUAAAAAACUUUUCAAGCAGCGACCUGGCGUUCUCCUCAGGGAAAGACUUUGGAGAAAAUAGUGGACUGGCUGUGUACGUAGCCGAGGCGAUUGAUGCAAGCGUCAAUUGGGAGGACAUCAGAUGGCUUCGAGGGUUGACCUCGCUGCCCAUCGUCGCGAAAGGAAUACUCAGGGCUGAUGAUGCUAAAGAAGCUGUAAAGAUUGGGUUAAAUGGUAUCUUGGUGUCAAAUCAUGGAGCACGACAGCUUGAUGGGGUACCUGCAACUGUAAGUACUGGUGCCAAUAUGCACCAAUUGAUGUCUUGCCUGAAAUCGUUGAGGCUGUGGAGGGGAAGGUGGAGGUGUUCCUGGAUGGUGGUGUAAGAAAAGGCACAGAUGUUCUCAAAGCAUUAGCUCUCGGUGCCAAAGCUGUAUUCAUCGGAAGACCUCUCAUCUGGGGCUUGGUUUAUCAAGGUGAAGAAGGAGCAAAAGAAGUUCUCCAGAUGCUGAAGGAAGAGUUUCGCCUGGCAAUGGCACUGACAGGGUGCCAGAGAGUAGAAGAAAUUGGCAGGACAUUGAUACGAAGACAUCAAGUAUUAUUUUCUAAGAUUUAG